GAAAUGCGAUAAGUAAUGUGAAUUGCAGAAUUCAGUGAAUCAUCGAAUCUUUGAACACACCUUGCGCUCCUUGGUAUUCCUUGGAGCAUGCCUGUUUGAGUAUCAUGAAAUCUUCAAAGUAAAUCUUUUGUUAACUCAAUUGGUUUCUACUUUGGUAUUGGAGGUCUUUGCAGCUUCACACCUGCUCCUCCUUGUUCAUUAGCUGGAUCUCAGUGUUAUGCUUGGUUCCACUCGGCGUGAUAAGUUAUCUAUCGCUGAGGACACUGUAAAAGGUGGCCAAGGUAAAUGCAGAUGAACCGCUUCUAAUAGUCCAUUGACUUGGACAAUACUUUUAUGAUCUGAUCUCAAAUCAGGUAGGACUACCCGCUGAACUUAAGC
rnacentral:misc_RNA from 1 species